GGGGUUGUGGCUCAGUGGUAAAGCGCUCACCUGGCACAUGUGAGGCACUGGGUUUGAUCCUCAGCACCACA
rnacentral:tRNA from 1 species